rnacentral:lncRNA from 1 species
UUGGGGUAAGUAUUUUAUGAUUCAAUGUAGACGGUUGCAUGACCUGAGGCAGUAAAUUUGAAAAAUACAAUAUAGGUAGAUAAUAACUCCUUGACAGGAUCAGACCCUAAGGUGGCAUCGGUGGCUGCUGUGCCAUGGGCUGCUUGUGGUGCUCCAAAGGUCUAGUGGGAAGUGAAGGUUGUGUGGACACCUGAUUGGGCAAACCAAGAGCUAGCCGUUGUCUAUGCACAUCUGAUGUGUUUUCAUUCCUUUUUAGGGUCAGAAGCAGGUGGUGAAGCUCUCUACUCACUCUGUUGAGAAUGGGGUGCAGAAUUGGACUCUCUAUACAACCUGAAUCUUGGCUAGUUUUUUUUCUGGGUUUCAGUAGGCUCCUGCUUGUCUCUUAGGAUCUUUACCGACCUGCGGACCUGCAGUGCAUAACAUAUACAAGUAUUCUAUAAGAAUCUAACGAAGUUGAGCUACUUCAAAAUCAAUACAACUCGAAACAAUAACAUAGAAAUAGGACACAAAUACAGCCCAAUCAAUCAACACCAAAGAAGAUUGCUUCCAUAAGGUAAGCAAUCAGAGCACAGAAGAGAUAUAAUGUGAUAUUGCUUCUCAAACAUAUAGAAUAUUGUAAUACUCUUUUAAAUGUGACAAAAUCAUCUCUUAGAGAUUCUUCACAAGAAAUUUGAGCUUUAAAUGCCUCAGAUUGUCAGCAUAUUCUUUAUGGUCCUUUUCUACAUUAGUAAUUACAUCCCGGUUAUAGAUUCUUCUGGUGGACUAUAAGAGGAAGCAGGAAAUGUCGAUUGGCAUUCUACUUAUUGUGGAAUUCCUGCUUAACAUAAGAACAACACCUAUUUAAAAUUAAUUCAAUUUGCAUUCCACUGCUAAUGUGUACUUUCUCCACUGCUAGUUUACAAAGGAAAACAACAACCAAAAAAGAAUAUGAUGUUCCUCCACGACUAAUGAAAUUUAUGACUCCAAAUAGGUAUCAAUGAAACCAUAAGUAGUAUAUCCCCUAUGUAUGCAUGCAAUAACAGCAAAAAAUAAAAAUAAGGAUAUAAUCAUUUCAUAUUUAAGCUGGCUUAUGUUCAACCACUAAUAACAUGAAGGGAGACAAAGUGAGAAGUAUCACACCAGUAAUCAUAAGAAUCAUGUCAUCAUGAUUCAUGAAUAUGAUAUGAACUUAGAAGUUUAGAAGAUCGAUAGUGACUAUAAUUGUACUGACCACCUUUGCAAAGUUGUAAAAAUUCAUCCCUGCAACUGCGAGUCCAAUAGAAUGUAGACAUAAAUGUUACAACCUCUAAAGCACAAACCUGAUCACUUUUACAAUGCUUAUCAAAACAGAAAAUUAAUCAGAGAUGUUUUUCACCACAUGCUGCUGACAAACAUAAGCUAAAUAUGAUACACAGCUUUGAUCCUAAACAUACCUUACUUGGCAAAGCUCAUUAUGCAUGAUAUGAACUUGUUAGGUGAUGAAGCACGAGGCAGGAUUUCCAUUGCCAAAACUAAAUUAACAGCCAACUGAAUUAGAUAUACUUCUUCAAUUUGAACUCUCUGAAAUGAAAAACCCUUCAAGUAAAAGCUUAAACCCAUUAAUCACAAAGACUGAGAAAGAUUAGCUUUUUUAAGAAGGUAGUUGGCAU